rnacentral:rRNA from 1 species
AGCGAACGUUAGCGGCGGGCUUAACACAUGCAAGUCGAACGAGAAAGUGGGCUUCGGCCCGCGAGUAAAGUGGCAGACGGGUGCGUAACACGUGGGUAAUCAACCUUGUGGCGGGGGACAACCUUCCGAAAGGAGGGCUAAUACCGCGUAAGUCCGGCGGGUCUUCGGAUCUGCCGGGGAAAGGGGGCGCAAGCCUCUCACCAUAAGACGAGCCCGCGUCCCAUCAGCUAGUUGGUGAGGUAACGGCUCACCAAGGCAUAGACGGGUAGCUGGUCUGAGAGGAUGACCAGCCACACUGGAACUGCGACACGGUCCAGACUCCUACGGGAGGCAGCAGUGGGGAAUAUUGGGCAAUGGGCGAAAGCCUGACCCAGCCACGCCGCGUG